rnacentral:rRNA from 1 species
CCUACGGGCGGCAGCAGUGAGGAAUAUUGGUCAAUGGGCUUACGCCUGAACCAGCCAAGUCGCGUGAGGGAAGACUGCCCUAUGGGUUGUAAACCUCUUUUGUCAGGGAGCAAUUGGCGCUACGUGUAGCGUUAUCGAGAGUACCUGAAGAAAAAGCAUCGGCUAACUCCGUGCCAGCAGCCGCGGUAAUACGGAGGAUGCGAGCUUUAUCCGGAUUUAUUGGGGUUAAGGGGUGCGUAGGCGGAAUGCCAAGUCAGCGGUAAAGUCGCGGGGCUCAACCUCGCUCCGCCGUUGAAACUGGCGGUCUUGAGUGGGCGAGAAGUAGGCGGAAUGCGUGGUGUAGCGGUGAAAUGCAUAGAUAUCACGCAGAACUCCGAUUGCGAAGGCAGCAUACCGGCGCCCAACUGACGCUGAAGCACGAAAGCGUGGGUAUCGAACAGGAUUAGAUACCCGUGUAGUC